GGGCCAGUAACUCAAUGGUAGAGUAUCGCCCUUUUAAGGCGAGAGUUGAUGGUUCGAGCCCAUCCUGGCCCA
rnacentral:tRNA from 1 species